UACGAAGGGUGCAAGCGUUACUCGGAAUUACUGGGCGUAAAGCGCGCGCAGGCGGCCUUUUAAGUCUGAUGUGAAAGCCCACGGCUCAACCGUGGAAGGUCAUUGGAAACUGAAAGGCUUGAGUACAGAAGAGGAAAGCGGAAUUCCACGUGUAGCGGUGAAAUGCGUAGAGAUGUGGAGGAACACCAGUGGCGAAGGCGGCUUUCUGGUCUGUAACUGACGCUGAGGCGCGAAAGCGUGGGGAGCAAACAGG
rnacentral:rRNA from 1 species